UAAAGUCGUUUGUUUGUUUCAGAUUAUAACAACUACGGCGACAGCGACAAAUGUAGUAGCUGAUAUAUCUGGGUUCCUUAGAAUUCAUCUGUGCUUGGGAGGGAAGGAAGUACCAAUUCGAAUAAACCACUCUGAUGCCAAAUCAAAAUAUAUUUAGAAUAUCAACAACUAUGCAACAGCAACAAAUACGUUCCCACUACCAUCGGUUUUUCGCACCGGAACGACUUGGAGUUCAACGAAAACGACUAAGGAUUGUCAACUCAACCACACAGACUUUGUACGUAUCGCUGCUUCAACAACAUCAACAUUAAAGUGGCUGAAAUAUCUGGGUGAGUGCAAAUUUGUUUUAAAAUAAGAACAGUAGAUCGUGACUGGACAGAUAGUUUAUAUAAUUAAGCUAGGACUCGAUAAUAUCAUAUUUCAAUAAUUCAUAGUGAAUUCGCUCGUAAUUUCAAAUAAAAGUAAAUUUCUUUACUGCGUAUUAUUACCCCCGAAAUAAAAUAAAUUUUCUUUAGAGUAGUUAUGGAUUAUGUCAUUGUCAAAAAUUAUGUUUCUGUACCAAUCAUUUGUAUCAUACCCAGUGAGAAUUUGCUUUAGGAAUGAACAAACACAUAUUUGAUUUCAAAUAUGUAUUGUACAAUCAUUUAUCUUUGGUUUCAACUUUCUGUAAGAUCGGACUCAGAAAAUGUUACUACCCUUGGUGACUAAUAACCCCUAGCUUUUGAUGGCACGGUUCCGUAAAGUGUAACGGGGUUGCACCUUCUAAUAGGGUAGUGACGGUUACACAUGUAACCAGCUUAGAAACGUAAGAUUAUAGUUGAACCAAACAAAUGAUUAUUCAUUCUUGAAGCUAUGAUUUCCACUGGUCUAUUACAUACUGAAUGACAUGUACAGAUAUUAUUAUUGCUCAGGAUAUACCCUUAACCCAAUGACUUGUUUUCCAAUAUAUUUAAUUUUUUGCAUUUCAUAUUAUGUUUUUACACAUUUAAAAUAAUUUUUCUUUCAAUCUAACUGAUGUUUCUGUACCAUCAAUCAUUUGUAUA